AAGACAUCACACUAUUGUGAAAGUGGGUUUAUGGAAUGCAAUUUGUCUGAACCGACUGGAGCUCGCCAGUGUUUUGGAGCAGUGGGGCAGCCGCUGAUUUUUAAUAUUCCAAAUACAGCAAAUACAGAGAUUAAGGUCACUAAGGAUGACAAAUAUCUCAUUUUCAAAAGAGAUACAAAUAAGAGAGUGACUUACAAUGAGUCUGGAGUCUUCACCAAUCAGACAUUCAAAAUCAAUAAUGCAACAAAAAGGCACUCUGGGGUUUACGAGAUGGAAGAAUUUGCAAUAAAUGGUACUUUACUGAAAGAAGUGAAGGUGCGUCUAGAAAUACGAGCUCCUGUGUCAGAGCCAGC